CCGGCAGGUCUCGCGAGAGCCGAGCGAGGGGCGGGAAGGGGGAUUCCCUCUGCCCGGUGUCUGCCUGAGGAGGUGGUAGCAAGGGUUGUAGAAGAACUAUCAGCAUGACAAAAAAACCUAUGGAGAUACCUCUCAAAAUCAUGCUGUGGCUAAAGUACAUGAAAAAAAUCCAAAGUAGAGGAUCAUCGUGGACAAUUAAAUGAGACAUGAAAAAUCAUGUGAGGAAAGAAAAGAACAAAACAUUGUCUUCUUCAACAGC